GGCAAGGUGGUCGAGUGGUUAAGACGUAAGACUGUAUGUUGAACCGGCUGCCUUACAUCACUCCAACUUUCAUACUAAUUCCCAAUCCAGUGAAUCCAACCGGAUGUUAUCUUAUCCCUUCGGGGUCGCGCGUUCAAAUCGCGUCCUUGUCG